rnacentral:rRNA from 1 species
GUGUCAGCAGCCGCGGUAAUACGUAGGUGGCAAGCGUUGUCCGGAUUUACUGGGCGUAAAGGAUGCGUAGGCGGACAUUUAAGUCAGAUGUGAAAUACCCGAGCUUAACUUGGGUGCUGCAUUUGAAACUGGGUGUCUAGAGUGCAGGAGAGGUAAGUGGAAUUCCUAGUGUAGCGGUGAAAUGCGUAGAGAUUAGGAAGAACACCAGUGGCGAAGGCGACUUACUGGACUGUAACUGACGCUGAGGCAUGAAAGCGUGGGGAGCAAACAGGAUUAGAUACCCUGGUAGUCC